AUAAAUAAGGAUACAUAUGCAUCAUUAAAGAGCCGUCGUGGCUGAGAUUUAGCUAGGCUGGCAAAGGGGGAAAUGGCCAUCCUCUUCAACUUCCUCAAGCCUCUUCUUCUCCUCCUCCUUACUCUUUCAGAUUUAUUUGCCAGUACCCUCAGCCUUGGAAUUGGAAUUAACUAUGGCCAAAUUGCCAAUAAUCUGCCAACACCAUCGCGAGUUUCCUAUCUCCUUAGAUCUCUCAAUGUUACGAGAGUUAAACUUUAUGACGCUGAUCCAAACGUGUUAAGUGCGUUCGCUAAUACGGAUGUGGAAUUUGUUAUUGGACUUGGGAAUGAGUACCUAGAAAGAAUGACUGAUCCCCAACAAGCUCAGGCUUGGAUUCAAUCGCAUGUUCAACCUUACCAUACUCAGACUAAAAUCACUUGUAUUACUGUUGGGAACGAGAUCUUAACGGGGAACGAUACACAGAUGAUGAAUAACCUCCUCCCGGCAAUGCAAGGUGUAUAUCGGGCUCUUGUUAAUCUUGGCCUUAGCAAUGAUAUAUAUGUGGCACACGCCCACUCGGCUGGGAUCUUGGGCAACUCUUUUCCGCCUUCCUCUGGUUCAUUUCGACAAGAUCUUGCUGAAUACAUUCAUGGCAUUCUCAAUUUCCAUACCCAGACUAAGUCGCCGUUCCUUAUAAAUGCCUAUCCAUUCUUUGCAUACAAAGACAGCCCCGAUCAAGUCCCGCUUGAUUAUGUACUUUUCCGGCCUAAUGCUGGUACGAUUGACCCAAUCACAAAUUUAAAGUAUGACAACAUGUUGUAUGCACAAAUUGAUGCAGUUCAUUCAGCGAUUAAGGCAAUGGGCUACUCAGACAUUCAAGUUAAGGUUUCUGAGACAGGUUGGCCAUCGAAGGGCGACCCAAAUGAGUUUGGAGCAACACCUGAAAAUGCAGCGCAAUAUAAUGGUAACUUGUUUCGGCGUAUACAGCAAAAUCAAGGAACUCCAGCAAAGCCAUCUGAGCCCAUUGAUAUUUAUGUGUUUGCGCUCUUUAAUGAGAAUUUAAAGCCCGGUCCAGCAUCAGAGAGGAAUUAUGGCCUCUACUAUCCCGAUGGAACUCCAGUUUAUAACAUCGGGUUACAAGGAUUUCUUCCGCGUAUGGAUUAUUCAGCUGCCAAGAAAAACGCCUUGCCUAUUUCUGCUUUUCUUCUGCUUGUUCUGGUUUUCUUCAUACACUUCUGAAAGCUGUACAAUAGAUCAAAUAUGGAGAUACCAGUAGAUUAGAGAUGAUUCAAUUUUGUCAAGAACUUUUGCUGAUAGAUAGAUAUUAAAAGGUCACGGGUUCGAGCCGUGGAAGCAGCCACUAAUGCUUGAAUUAGAGUGGGUUGUCUACAUCACGCCCCUUCUUGAGGUGCGGCUCUUCCUUGGACCCUGCGUGAACGCGAGAUACCUUGUGCACUGGGCUGCCCAGUCAAUUGCUAAUCACCUACUUUCUAGGAUACCUUUCAUUGUAUCAUUUCUUUAUUGAAGAUAUGGUAAUGUGUCUCAUCACCCUUAUCUUAUUUCCACUAGCAAUCAUGCAUAUGAAUAUCAUUUUUACAAACUUCCCAUCAUCUUCUUGAAGACAAAAGUCCAUAUUGGCUUGUGUUGGAAAAGAAAGCCACCCUCUCUCUAUCACCAAAUUCUGAAUUAUUUUUCACGUUGAAUAUAAUUGCCAAGUGGAAAGGCUCAUUAGUUUUUGUAUUUACUGGUGAAUCCUAUAUCUGAUUAUGACAUCUUGUUUCUUUCUUUUUUAUCAUUAUUUUCAAAUAGAGUAUUUGUUGCAUCAAUCUGAUGUGGAGCAGUCAAUAUUGGCGUCACCUAUCAUCCUCGAGUCAAUUCUAAGUUCCCUCUUCUUUAACUUCCACCACCUUCUUGUGUGUGUGCUUAAUCGCUUUCCUUAUUUAUUUAUUUCUUUUUCUUGUAGGUCGGGUGGGGGGUUGGCAUAAAAGGGAAAAAAUCUCCCUUUAGAUAGUAUUUAUUUUGGUUUCCUUGCAGAUAAAAGUAUGUGCUUAUAAGGAACUGAUCUGGCAUGAUGGAAAAUUUUGGUUGGCAAAUUCUUGAAAAGGUGUAACACAGAGUAGGAUUCUUUUAGCAGCAAAGUUGGCUGUGUGACUUUAAACAUGAUGGAGCCCAUUUGAAACCUUUUCUUACAUCAGCAAUGGCUUGAUAUGAGUAGAUAAACUUGACAAAUGGAAGAAUCCACUUUGACAUUUUCCACAUACUGCCUUGGCUAUAUUCCCACUGAAUUUGAUUCUUUAGUUGUUAUAUGACAAACCUUCACCACAUCUAGUUAGUUUCAGAAACUUGUGGCACUUUAUACCCUCUUUGCUACAAAGCUUUCUCUCGCUCACUGCCCUUUACUACUGGACAUGUAUCUAUCGACCGGCCCUUGGUUGUGCUUAGAGGCAGAGCCAGGAUUUGAAAUUUAUGGGUUCGGAAUUCAGAGCUAGCUCCGCCCCUUGUUGUGCUACCGGACAUGCAGGCACGUGUCAUGAUCUUGUUAUAGAACUUGACAUAGAGACCCCGAUUCGGGCAAGAACAGCUUGAUUAUGAAGGUCCUAUAACUUUUGUGUUUUCCGUUGAUACAAAUAUUUCUGUCUUUGGAUAUCUUUAGACCUGCCUAGGUUCCAUCUGGGGCGGGAGAUACCCUGCGUUUAACAGACGUGUAGUGAACUAGUGAUCACGACAUGAAACAGCUUCGAAACGGACAUGUUCGAUGCGUUUAAUUUUGUGAUAAUACAGUCAUGGCUGUCUUUGACAACAACUAAUUUUCAAAUUUGGCUGUGAAACAUGGCUGCUGAAAUGUAGUCGAAGACGGCGCAGCUUCCAUUUUCUAUUUCACACUGCUAACUUGGCUGGGGAAUUGCUUAUUGGACUUGAAGUCAUGAUCAAUAUACAUUACAUUCAUACCAAAAAAAAUUCAUAGAUAAAAAACUCAAAAAAUUGUGUAACUACUUUUUAUUAGUUGAAUAGUUGAUUCGUUUACAAAUUGAAUAAGAACAGAAAAGUUUCUCUGGCAAUAGUUGUCAUCCCAUUUUAUUAGAAUUAUUAUAAUAAGGGAACUAUAAUUGUGCUGACA